UCCGCAGGUUAACUAUAAAAUGGCACCACCGCAACAAGACCCAAUCCAAGCACCGUCUUCCCGGAGCAAACCCCUAACUUUUCAUGGCCAAGACCAAUGGAGAGCCUUGUUCCCGAACCCUAGAACCAGAAUGAAGCGCAAGCGUGAUCUCGAACCCCUCGUGGAAGGGGAGGGCGAGCGAGAGCAGAAGCAUCAAAAGCUGGAGAUGGCCUCUGUUCUUCACCUCCUCCUACCCGCUGUCGAUGAAGGGACGGGAGCUCUCACCUCUGUGGACAAGGGAAAAGGGAUAGUGGUGGAGGAGGAAGAGGGGGAUAAGGAGGCCGAUGAUGAGGACAGCGACGACGGUAGCGAUGUGGGUAGUGAAGACGAGAGUGGCGGGGAGGGAGAUGAUGACAGCGAUUUCGUUGAUGAUCCGUUGGUGGAGGUCGAUCCGGAGAACAUCCUUCCUUCAAGUACGCAGCGGCGGGAACCUCCACCGCCGGGGGUUUAUGUCGACCCUGAUCAGGAUGAGGAUGACAGCAGGGACAGCGAGUAAGAUGAUGCGAGGCUAAAAGGAGGAAUGUAGAAGUUGGCAGAGGACCUUGCGUGAUUGCGGUUGCAUUCCUCGGAGAUGUUUGCAACUCAGCAUUAUACGGUGAAUUAUUUGAUGAGAUAUAUCCUUCUCCCUGGUUCCAUAUGGAUCAGAUUAAGGCACCAGAGUGGCAUAGAUCAUUUCGGGCCUGGUGAGUUUAUCAUUUUGAUUUCUUUUCUAUCGAGUUGCUAGAGUUUGUGUUCAGUUUCUUUUAUUCUUCCACGUAAAUGAACAGUGACAUGGAUACGAGACCGAUAGAUCUCUCUUUCCACUU